AUGGCUUACGUGACACCGAGGGAAGGUGCACCUUGGUGGAUUUCGAUUGUAUAUGGGCCACAAGAGGAUCACGAGAAGAUCCAAUUCAUGGAGGAACUAACCGCGAGGCGCUUGCUCUUCCUCGGGCCGUGGUUAGCGAUUGGAGACUUCAAUCUCAUUUUGAACGCGGCAGACAAGAGUAAUGCCAAUCUUGACAGGAGAAUGAUGGGGAGAUUUAGGCGGUUUGUGGACUCCAAUGGUCUUAAGGAGCUCUUUUUGCAUGGUCGCGCUUUCACGUGGAGCAAUGAGAGGGAUAACCCCACUCUCACUAAGAUUGAUAGGGCAUUCGUCUCGGUCGAUUGGGAGCUCGACCACCCAGAUGGUAUGCUGCAAGCCCUUUCCACGGCCAUUUCAGACCAUUGUCCGCUUCACCUUGCUAUGGAGGAUCACUUACAGCCUCAUAGGCGGUUUUGCUUCAAAUCUUUUUGGACCAAACUUGACGGCUUUGACGAGGCGGUGGAAGAAGCUUGGAAUUGUGACCCCAGCAUCACGGACCCCUUCCUCAGAUUGGACUUGCUUCUUCGUAAAGCAGCGCACGACCUUACGGCUUGGGGACUGAGAAAGAUUGGUAAUGUUAAGCUUCAGAUUGCGAUGGCAAAACUAGAUUAUUCUGCAGCUUGA
rnacentral:rRNA from 1 species